GGAGAUGCUAGUGAGGACUUUCCCCUAAUUUUCCGGUAUUUGGCUUAGGCAGCAGUUUGAACCUUCGGUGUCUAUCCUAAUCACAUGCAGCUACAGAGCUGGUUGUUGCAGGAAAUGCACGAUCGAACCUCGUUCUGACUUCGCCUCCGUAACGUGGUUACCGUUGUCGUGGCCAACGUCCCCUCUGUUUUGAACAGAUUUACUAUCGUUCUUGAUUGCUUUCGCUCUGCAUUUCGUUGACAACAGCAUCGUUUCAAGGUCUUCUACUGACAAGAUGUUUACUAGGCUGCAUAUUCAAGCACGGGAAGACAUGAUCCGGUAUCAUGUCACUCCUGCUGCGAGUUUAUGGCCGUCGCUGGAUGAGGAAUCCGACUGUGUAUGUAGUUUAUCUACAUCUCUUUCAGAAUUAGCCGACUAGCUCGGCCAGCCAAUAGCUCACCUUCAUCCAUUUGUCGAUGUCCUCUCUCGCAAACUAUGGACGAUUGCCCUUUUUCUCUGAGUGUUAUUGUGUCCUAAAAAAAUAGCUGUAUGAUAACCCUCCCUCAUGAUUAACAUGUUUCUAACAGUCGAUCCGAAUUUGUCUACGGUUACAUCCUGUCUAAAAACAUGUGUAACCCGUGUCUAUCACUCUGACCCUUUUGUAAUUUUCUUUGAAAACCGCCUAUCUACUUCGCCUACUGACCCCCCUUUCUCCACCCCUCCCCCCUCACUGAUGUAGCGUCCCCUAGCUGCGUCCACGAACCCCUCUCCCGACCCUCUGAGUGUUUUCACCCCGUUCUGGGCCCGCCCUGACCACGGUGAGACGCUCCCUGCCCCAGUCACCAUCACCUAUAUCGACCACUACCCUGCCCCUAGUGAUGACGAUAGUGACUACUGGGUCUACGAGGACGAAGACGACGACAGCUUCGUGGAGGACCGAGAGAUUCAUCCUCUGAGAAGGGCGCUGAGGAGAGCGGCUGCCUUCUGGAGGAGAAUCUUCUCGUAGAUUUCUCAUCCAGUGUGUGUGUGUAUGUGAUUGAGUGUAAGAGUGUAUGUGUGAGAGGGUGAGUUCUGCAUGUGUGAAUAAAUGUAUAAGCGUGUAUAUGUGAGAAGGUGCAUUGUUCAUUUUUGUUUGAGUGAGUGUAAUUAAGUGUGCAUUUGCGAGAGGAUGUGUGUUUUGCACGUACGGUUGAGUGUAAGACUGUAUGUGCGAGAGGAUGUGUUUUGGAUCUCUGAUUGAGUGUAAGUGUGGAUGUAUUUUGCAUAUGUGUUUGGUUUUAAGUGUGCAUGUGUGAGAGAAUGUGUUUGGCAUGUGUGGUUGAGUGUAUGCAUAAGAGGAUGUGUUUUUCAUGUGUUUGGUGGUAAGCGCAUAUAUGUGAGACGAUGUGUUUUAAAAGUGUGUUUGUGUGAGAGAAUGUGGCUUGAAAGUUUGUAUGCGCGAGAGGAUGUGUUUUGCAUAUGUUGUUGGUUUUAAGUGCGCUUGUGUGAGAAAAUGUGUUUGGCGUGUGAGGUUGAGUGUUUGCAUAAGAGGAUGUGUUUUUCAUAUGUUUGGAAGUAAGCGCAUAUAUGUGAGAAGAUGUGUUUUAAAGUGUGUUUGUGUGAGAGGAUGUGGUUUGAAAGUGUUUGUGUGAAAGUAUGUGGUUUGGUGCCCGAGUAAUAAGACUUUUCUCCCUUUUGGACUGUUUUGGCUACACCUUUUUGGUUUAUGUUUGGACACAUUCUUUCGAUCUCUUUUCAUUUGUUUUGGCUCACCUUUUGGCUGACAUUCCUGCGUUUGUUCAGUUCUCUUGGAAUCAGGGGACAGUUUUUGUGCUCACUUUUGGCCCUGCUUUAAACCUGUUCUUUAGGCACGUCAUUCUAUUUCUGGAUUAUACCUAAAUAAAUAUUAAUUAAUGGUA